rnacentral:rRNA from 1 species
AACGAGAUUCCCACUGUCCCUAACUACUAUCUAGCGAAACCACAGCCAAGGGAACGGGCUUGGCAAAAUCAGCGGGGAAAGAAGACCCUGUUGAGCUUGGCUCUAGUCUGACUUUGUGAAGAGACAUGAGAGGUGUAGCAUAAGUGGGAGCUUUGGGAUCAAUCUUGGUUGUUGCCUCUGUAGCAGCUAAGACCCCUUGGCAACAAUGAAAUACCACUACUCUCAUAGUUUCUUUACUUACACGGUUAAAGGGAAAUUGGGAUAGUGUCUCUCUCACUUGGGUUUACUCAAGGUUCGGGAAGGCCCCCUAUCCUUAAAUUCUAGAGCAAAGUGUAGAUACUUUCAUUAACGCUUGAGACCCUAACUUUUGCCUUGUCCUUCACGGGACUUGGUGAUUUUUAGACUCAAGUUUGAAAGGUAACGUAGUUGCACCGUAAAGAUACUUGUAUCUGGUGUACUCUACAAUCAGCAUGAUCCUCACCGUGGACAUUGUCAGGCUGGGCGUUUGACUGGGGCGGUACAUCUGUCAAAAGGUAACGCAGGUGUCCUAAGGC